rnacentral:rRNA from 1 species
AUGGAACAGCUAGUGGUGAAGCAAACAGAUGGGGAUAUCAAAAGGAAUAGGCUGCGUCUUAGAUUAACCGUUGAUUCACUACGGUGGUUAGCAUUCCAAGCUUGCCCCUUCCAAGGACAUGAUGAAAGUCUUGAUUCGAAGAACCAAGGUAAUUUCCUUGAAAUGGUGAAACUGAUAGCUUCUUAUGAUGAGUAAAUUGGUGUUGUAGUGUUGGGUAAUGCUCCAGGCAAUGCUAAGCACACAUCGCCUACAAUUCAAAAAGAACUUCUAGGUAGCAUUGCUUCUAAGGUGCAAAGUGAAAUUCGUAAAGAAAUAGGAGAUGCUAAGUUCUGCAUGCUUGUCAACGAGUCAAGAGAUGAAUCCAAAAGAGAGCAAAUGGCAGUAGUUAUUCGUUUUGUUGAUAAACCUGGUUUCACUCAUGAACGUUUUCUUGAUAUUGUUCAUGUUGUUGAUACAUCUUUGGCUACUCUAAAAGAAGAGAUAUGUUCUGUUUUGGUUCAACGUUAG